AACGAACGCUGGCGGCAUGCCUAACACAUGCAAGUCGAACGAGACCUUCGGGUCUAGUGGCGCACGGGUGCGUAACGCGUGGGAACCUGCCCUUAGGUUCGGAAUAACUCCCCGAAAGGGGUGCUAAUACCGGAUAAUGUCUUCGGACCAAAGAUUUAUCGCCUUUGGAUGGGCCCGCGUUGGAUUAGCUAGUUGGUAGGGUAAAAGCCUACCAAGGCGACGAUCCAUAGCUGGUCUGAGAGGAUGAUCAGCCACACUGGGACUGAGACACGGCCCAGACUCCUACGGGAGGCAGCAGUGGGGAACAUUGGACAAUGGGCGAAAGCCUGAUCCAGCAAUGCCGCGUGAGUAAUGAAGGCCUUAGGGUUGUAAAGCUCUUUUACCCGGGAUGAUAAUGACAGUACCGGGAGAAUAAGCUCCGGCUAACUCCGUG
rnacentral:rRNA from 1 species